GAGGUUGUGCUCUGGGAACAUGCAAAUGAGCAGGGGAUGGGGCAGGCUGGGCACAGCUGCAGAGCUGGCGCAUCUCAGUAACUCAGCACCAGCUCAGUGUCCCCACGUGUCCCAGGGACAUCAUCCUGACCCAGACACCAAGAUCCCUGUUAACAUCUUUUGGAAAGAGGCACUCAAUCUUUUAUCAAGCAACUGCCCAGGGAAGAGGUAAUUGGGAAAUGUAGGCAACCUGGAGAGAAUAGAUGAGAAUAGAAAUGCAUCCUCAAAAGAACAGGUAAUCACCUCC
rnacentral:lncRNA from 1 species